UACAGAGGUCUCAAGCGUUGUUCGGAUUCAUUGGGCGUAAAGGGUGUGUAGGUGGCGCGCUAAGUCGGGUGUGAAAUUUCGGAGCUUAACUCCGAAACUGCAUUCGAUACUGGCGUGCUUGAGGCUAGUAGGGGUCACUGGAACUGACGGUGGAGCGGUGAAAUGCGUAGAUAUCGUCAGGAACGCCGAUGGUGAAGACAGGUGACUGGGCUAGUUCUGACACUGAGGCACGAAAGCGUGGGGAGCGAACGGG
rnacentral:rRNA from 1 species